rnacentral:lncRNA from 1 species
UUAAGGAUCCAACGUUGCCGUGAGCUGUGGUGUAGGUCACAGAUGUGGCUUGGAUCUGGCUUUGCUGUGGCUAUGGCGCAGGCUGGCAGCUGUAGCUCCGAUGAGAUCCCUAGCCUGGGAACCUCCAUAUGCUGCAGGUGCGGCCCUGAAAAGCAAACAAACAAACAAACAAAAAACCUAAAAACAAACAUUAUAAGUUAAAAAAAAAAAAGGGGGCUUGAUUUCCUGUUGGCUUUCCCUUAUUAUGCCUGGCAUACUGGCCAAUAGAGUAGUUUCAUUCAUGUCUCUUCUGCGGUUGCCUAGUGAUGCUGUGCUUCCCCUGCUCAACCCACAAAACUGUCUUCCACAUGAGCUGGGCUGACUUACGGCCUGGAAGACGUUCACAUCCUAAUCUGCAGGACCUGUGAGUGUUAGCUUACACAACAAAAAGGACUUUGCUGAUGUGAUUAAAUUAAGGAUCUUGAGAUGGGAAGAGUUGAGUAGGCCUGAUGCAAUCACAACGGUUGUUAUGAGAGGAGGCAGGAGACUGAAGCAAGUUGUAGAACAUGUGACAACCAACAGAAACAAGAAUUUGGAGUAAUGAGAGGAAGGGGCUCUGAGCCAAGAAAAGUAGGCAACCUCUACAAGCCGAAAAAGGCAAGGAAACAGAUUUCUCCCUGAAGCCUCCAGAAAGAAUAACCCCUGCUGAUGCUUUGACUUUAGAUUUCUGACCUCCAGAACUAUUGUAGAAUAAAUGGGUGCUUUCUUGUGCUACUAAGUGUGUGGCAAUUUGUCAAAGUAGCCAUAGAAAACUACACAACCCAACCUUCACGAUUCUUUGUAACUAAGAGACUGAAAUUAUUCACUCAACAAAAUCCAUUCAAUGCCAGGCACUCUAGGUUAUUGCCCUCACAGUCUUUGUAUUCUAAUAGGAGGGGGUGGAAAAUAAGCAAUAAAUAUCAUGCUGAAGUGAUAAGUACUGUGUAUUUAGAGGGGGGAAAAAGGAGGAGAGUUGCAAUUUUAAAUACGAUGGUCAACGUGGUCCCUUGAGAGCAUGG